CUACGGGAGGCAGCAGUGGGGAAUAUUGCACAAUGGGCGAAAGCCUGAUGCAGCGACGCCGCGUGGGGGAUGACGGCCUUCGGGUUGUAAACCCCUUUCAGUCGGGACGAAGCGAGAGUGACGGUACCGAUAGAAGAAGCACCGGCCAACUACGUGCCAGCAGCCGCGGUAAUACGUAGGGUGCGAGCGUUGUCCGGAAUUACUGGGCGUAAAGAGCUCGUAGGCGGCUUGUCGCGUUGUUCGUGAAAAUUUACCGCUCAACGGUGAACUUGCGGGCGAUACGGGCAGGCUAGAGUACUGCAGGGGAGACUGGAAUUCCUGGUGUAGCGGUGAAAUGCGCAGAUAUCAGGAGGAACACCGGUGGCGAAGGCGGGUCUCUGGGCAGUAACUGAUGCUGAGGAGCGAAAGCGUGGGGAGCGAACAGGAUUAGAAACCCUUGUAGUCC
rnacentral:rRNA from 1 species